rnacentral:siRNA from 1 species
UGCCGAAUCAACUAGCCCCGA